rnacentral:lncRNA from 1 species
GAACAUAUGACAGCUUCUUCAAGGCUGGCCCCAGGAGGUUUUACCCCUUGAGCCAGUCCAUGUCAGUCUUCAACAGUUUGUCAAUUCCCUGCUCCGUACCUGAAAAGGUACAACAAGGAGGGAUGAAGAAAGAUCACUGACCAGAAAUAAAAUUGGGAGUUUAGACAAUUAAAUUAUCUGGACAUUUUAAUUCCUGAACUACGACUAGGCUACAACAUGCGGACUGCUGUAGAUGUCACCCAGGAACAGAAAAUAACUAGCCUCGUGAGAAAGUUUUGAAUGGGCAAAAGGGAAAUUGAAUACAAUUGUUUUUUGCUUGCACCAUAUAGAGGCGUAUUCUUUCUAUGUACAGUGAUAGGAAACUGGUGGUGUUUGACAUCAUCCAAAAACAGGGCCCAUUUUUUGAAUCAUAAAUUAUCUUCAUGAACACACCCAUUGCCUUCAACAUACAGCCUAAGUCUCAUACUUUCUAAAAUAUCUCCGGUACCUGCUCCAGUUCUCAGUGAUCACCAAUUCCUUUGUCCUCCAAUAACAUAAAUUUCUUUUCUACCUUGUACUUAGAAUUCUGUUCAAACUAUCUUGUUGUAUUCAAAAUAAUUUUAACGAGCUAUAGUUGACAUAACAUAUUUAGUUAUCUAUCUAUGUAUCUGUCAUCUAUCAAUCAUCUGAUGAGAAUUUAUCAUUACACUCAAGAUAAUGAGCUCAGACAUGAUUCCCAAAUAUUUUCUCAUCAGGCUUUGUAAUUCUUCCCUCUCAACACUCCCCAGCAUCCCCCAAACCCAAUAAACCACUAAUCUGCUUUCAGUCACUAUAGAUUCAUUUAUAUUUUCUGAAAUUUUAUAUACAAUGGAAUCAUUCACUAUGAACUCUUUUUCAUCUGACGUCUUAUAUUCAGCAUAAUUAUUUUCAUAUGUUUCCGUGUUGCAGAGUAUAAUUUCGUUACAUAGAUAUUCUAUCUUAUUUAUCAAUUUACAUUUUUGUAAAGAUUGUGAAAUAAAAAUAAAAUCCUAAGCCCUGCAACUGACUGAGCAGACACCUGUUGCCCAAGAAGACUCCAGAAAAACUUUGAAAAAUUGAGUUUCCUGGUCAUGACAAGGUGGGAGGUUGAGUACCUCUUGGUGUACCUCAUUCCUUGCCAAUCUUUACUAGAUUAUUUUCUAAGGGUUAAACAGAAACUGGCCCUGGAAAAAUAAAGAAAUGAAAACUCACUCCUUUGCUGAUUUCAGCCAACUGCUGGACACUGCAGCUGGAAUCCUCUCCCUUCUUGUAGUUUCUACACAGCAGCUCACCAGUUUCAUAGCACAUUCCUUUCUGAUUUUUUACUACCAGCCAUGGACUGGUUCUGGCCAGAUACAGAGGCUGCCCACAAGAUGUCUGUCAUCUUUUAAUGUAUACAGCCUAAUUUUAAUACAUUUAAAUGUUAAUUCUCCAUCCUAAAGUGAACAUGUGACAUAUGUAAUAUGUAUGUUUGCUUACUAGCAUAUGUGUGUCCCUUGUGAAUAUUCAUAACUCUUUUUAUAACUUGUUGAUAUGUAUACUUAGCCAUCCUGUCCAGUAUAAAUUCCUGUCUCAUCCUUCUUCCAUUGAAGUACCUGCUUUUGAUUUCUGCUGGAGGCUAUGCUUCCCAGUCUGCAGGGUGGCCAGCCUGCAGGCGGAAACCCUUUAUAAGAAACAAAGCUCUCCUCUCCAAAUAUAUGGAUCUCAUGAUUUCAAGUCUACAAGACUUAAGUUGUUUUCUUUUCUUUUUUUUUUUUUUUUUUUUUUUUGAGAUGGAGUUUCACUCUUGUGGCCCAGGCUAAAGUGCAAUGGCACGAUCUCAGCUCACUGAAACCUCUGUCUCCUAGGUUCAAGCGAUUCUCCUGCCUUGGCCUCCCAAGUAGUGGAAAUUACAGGCACCUGCCACCAUGCCUAGCUAAUUUUUGAAUUUUUAGUAGAGACGGAGUUUCGCCAUGUUGGCCAGGCUGAUCUCGAGCCCCUGACCUCAGGUGAUUCACCUGCCUCAGCCUACCAAACUGCUGGGAUUACAGGCAUGAGCCAAGGCACCCAGACAGUUUUCAAACUACUGUUAUAAAUAAAGGUGCUGUAAACAUUGGUGUACAAUCUUUAUCUGAACAUCUGUUUUUAUUUCUCAUGAAUAAAUGCCUAGAUGUUAAACGGCAGGAUUAUAAGGUAAUUAUAUGUUAAACUUUCUAAGAAAUUUCUGAACAGUUUUUUCAAUUGCCUGUACAAUUUUUACAUUUCUACCAGUAGUGUAUGAGAAUUUCAGUUGUUUAACUCUCUUACCAAUACUUGUUAUCUAAUUUAACUAUUAUCUGAAUUAUUGUUAUUAUCCAAAUGAAAUUUACUGAUUCUAGUGAGUAGUAAUAUCUCACUGUAGUGUUAAUUUGAAUUUACUUACUCAUGAUGUUGCACAUCUUUUCAUAUGCUGAUUUGCCAUAAAUUGCUGGAUUACAGCUAAUAAAAAUAAACAAAAUGAAAUCAUAAAAAUACUAAAUUAGCCCUAAAGAAAAAAAAAAAGAAAGGAAAGAGGAAGAAGAAAAAAAAAUGGGACAAAUAGAAAACAAUGGGUAAGGAGACAGUAUUAAUUAAUAAUAUCAAUAACCACAUUACAUAUAAAUAGUCUAAAUACUCAAAAGGCAGAUAUUGCUAGAUAAAGUAGCAAGAAUUGCUUAUCACUGCCUUAAAAAACCUAAUUUGAGUAUAUAGAUAGCAAUGGGGUAGAAAUAACUGAAUGGGAAAAUAUAUACUAAUAUUAAUGAAAAAAUGCUAAAAUGACUACAGUAAUUUUAGACAGAGUGGGUUUCAGAGAUAAAAAAUAUUCAAAGGAGCCACUGAAAACUAUUUAACUUCCAUCUAUAAUGUUUAUUUUUUCUAGUGUUGCUUUAUGCUAAAAGAACAUUUUAAUUUAUUGCACUUGACUUGUUAA